rnacentral:rRNA from 1 species
UACGUAGGGACCAAGCGUUGUCCGGAAUCAUUGGGCGUAAAGAGCGUGUAGGCGGCUUGUUAAGUCUUGCGUGAAAUCUCGGGGCUCAACCCCGAGCGGUCGUGAGAAACUGGCAGGCUAGAGUGCGGGAGAGGAGAGUGGAAUUCCCGGUGUAGUGGUGAUAUGCGUAGAUAUCGGGAGGAACACCUGUGGCGAAGGCGGCUUUCUGGGCCUUACCUGACGCUGAGACGCGAAAGCGUGGGGAGCGAACCGG